AACGAACGCUGGCGGCGUGCUUAACACAUGCAAGUCGAACGCGAAAGGGACUUCGGUCCUGAGUAAAGUGGCGCAUGGGUGAGUAACGCGUAGAUAACCUGUCUUCAUGUCUGGAAUAAUACGCCGAAAGGGGUACUAAUACCGGAUAUUCUUGCUUUUCAUAAGUUAUGCAAGCAAAGGUGGCCUCUGCAUAUGCUACUGCAUGAAGAGGGGUCUGCGUACCAUUAGCUAGUAGGUGGGGUAAUGGCCUACCUAGGCGACGAUGGUUAGCGGGUCUGAGAGGAUGAUCCGCCACACUGGCACUGGAACACGGGCCAGACUCCUACGGGAGGCAGCAGUGAGGAAUAUUGCGCAAUGGGGGAAACCCUGACGCAGCGACGCCGCGUGAGUGAAGGAAGGCCUUCGGGUCGUAAAGCUCUGUCAAGAGGAAAGAAGUGUACAAUGGCUAAUACCUGUUGUAUUUGACGGUACCUCUAAAGGAAGCACCGGCUAACUCCGUGCCAGCAGCCGC
rnacentral:rRNA from 1 species